rnacentral:rRNA from 1 species
AAUUCCGAGACAGGUGCUGCAUGGCUGUCGUCAGCUCGUGCCGUGAGGUGUGGGUUAAGUCCCGCAACGAGCGCAACCCUAUUGCCAGUUGCUACCAGGUAAUGCUGGGCACUCUGGUGAGACUGCCCCGGUUAACGGGGAGGAAGGUGGGGACGACGUCAAGUCAUCAUGGCCCUUACGCCUAGGGCUACACACGUACUACAAUGGCGCAUACAAAGGGCAGCGAUACCGCGAGGUGGAGCCAAUCCCAAAAAGUGCGUCCCAGUCCGGAUUGCAGUCUGCAACUCGACUGCAUGAAGUUGGAAUCGCUAGUAAUUCGAGACCAGCAUGCUCGGGUGAAUGCGUUCCCGGGCCUU